GCUUCCGUGGUCCAAUGGUUAGGAUUCCACCCUUCCAUGCGAUGUUAGGUGGAGGUUCGUGUUCGAUUCACGGCGGUUGCA